UACGUAGGGGGCAAGCGUUGUCCGGAAUCAUUGGGCGUAAAGCGCGUGUAGGCGGUUCAGUAAGUCUGCUGUGAAAGUCCAGGGCUCAACCCUGGGAUGCCGGUGGAUACUGCUGGACUAGAGUGCGGAAGAGGCGAGUGGAAUUCCCGGUGUAGCGGUGAAAUGCGCAGAUAUCGGGAGGAACACCAGCGGCGAAGGCGGCGCUCUGGGCCGGAACUGACGCUGAGGAGCGAAAGCGUGGGUAGCAAACAGG
rnacentral:rRNA from 1 species